rnacentral:rRNA from 1 species
AACGAACGCUGGCGGCAUGCCUAACACAUGCCAGUCGAACGAGACCUUCGGGUCUAGUGGCGCACGGGUGCGUAACGCGUGGGAACCUGCCCUUAGGUUCGGAAUAACUCCCCGAAAGGGGUGCUAAUACCGGAUAAUGUCUUCGGACCAAAGAUUUAUCGCCUUUGGAUGGGCCCGCGUUGGAUUAGCUAGUUGGUAGGGUAAAAGCCUACCAAGGCGACGAACCAUAGCUGGUCUGAGAGGAUGAUCAGCCACACUGGGACUGAGACACGGCCCAGACUCCUACGGGAGGAAGCAGUGGGGAAUAGUGGACAAUGGGCGAAAGGCUGAUCCAGCAAUGCCGCGUGAGUGAUGAAGGCCUUAGGGUUGUAAAGCUCUUUUAACCGGGAUGAUAAUGACAGUACCGGGAGAAUAAGCACCGGCUAACUCCGUG